rnacentral:rRNA from 1 species
UACGUAGGUCCCGAGCGUUGUCCGGAUUUAUUGGGCGUAAAGCGAGCGCAGGUGGUUUAUUAAGUCUGGUGUAAAAGGCAGUGGCUCAACCAUUGUAUGCAUUGGAAACUGGUAGACUUGAGUGCAGGAGAGGAGAGUGGAAUUCCAUGUGUAGCGGUGAAAUGCGUAGAUAUAUGGAGGAACACCGGUGGCGAAAGCGGCUCUCUGGCCUGUCACUGACACUGAGGCUCGAAAGCGUGGGGAGCAAACAGG